rnacentral:rRNA from 1 species
UACGAGGGGGGCGAGCGUUGUUCGGAAUUAUUGGGCGUAAAGGGUGCGUAGGCGGCCUGACAAGUCUGAUGUGAAAUCCCUGGGCUCAACCCAGGGCCUGCAUCGGAAACUGUCGGGCUUGAGUAUGGGAGAGGUGAGUGGAAUUUCCGGUGUAGCGGUGAAAUGCGCAGAUAUCGGGAGGAACACCGGUGGCGAAGGCGGUUCUCUGGGCCUUACCUGACGCUGAGGAGCGAAAGCGUGGGGAGCGAACAGG